rnacentral:lncRNA from 1 species
UUUUUUUUUUUUUUUUCUAAUUUUUGGUUGGUGGCGGCGGUGCUGGGCCAGGGGAAGGAAGGGACACGGAGGCCGCCCUCGCCCCGCCACCUCCUACCAGCUUCCCCCCAGCCCCGGCUCCGGGAGAUGUGCCGGGCGGGGGGCCCGGGUUCGCCGAGCCGCAGGAGAGACACGCUGGGCCGACCCCAGAGCGGCGCUGGACAGGAAAACAUUUAAAGUUGAUGAUAUGUUAUCAAAAGUAGAGAAAAUGAAAGGAGAGCAAGAAUCUCAUAGCUUGUCAGCUCAUUUGCAGCUUACAUUUUUGGUUUCUUCCACAAAAAUGAUAAGCCAUCACCAAACUCAGAAAAUGAACAAAAUUCUGUUACCCUGGAAGUCCUGCUUGUGAAAGUUUGCCACAAAAAAAGAAAGGAUGUAUGUUGUCCAAUAAGGCAAGUUCCCACAGGUAAAAAGCAGGUGCCUUUGAAUCCUGACCUCAAUCAAACAAAACCUGGAAAUUUCCCGUCCCUUGCAGUUUCCAGUAAUGAAUUUGAACCUAGUAACAGCCACAUGGUGAAGUCUUACUCGUUGCUAUUUAGAGUGACUCGUCCAAGAAGAAGAGAGUUUAAUGGAAUGAUUAAUGGAGAAACCAUGAAAAUAUUGAUGUCAGUGAAGAGCUUCCAGCCAGAAGAAAAUGAAAUCGUGAGGAUGGGGAAAAGACAUUUGUUGCACAAAUGACAGUAUUUGAUAAAAACAGAGUUUCACUCUUGUUGCCCAGGCUGGAGUGCAGUGGCAUGAUCUGGACUCACUGCAACCUCCACCUCCCAGGUUUAAGCAGUUCUCCUGCCUGAGCCUCUCGGAUUACAGAAAUAAGUCGGAGCUCUGGAGUAGAGAACACCCGAUGAUUCAGAAUCGUUCCGAAGUGCUAUAUUUCUUCGACUGCUCAGACUGUACCCCUCAAAACCAGCUGUCCACUCUUUUUCAAAGCAAAGAUAUUGAAAACUGUUAGAAUCUCUUGAGGGAUAUCUUCAAUACAGACACGUUAAAUAAAACAUGGAAAUGGGAGACUACUCUUAGGGGCCAUGGUCAAGUUCAAUAAAAUAAAAGAUUCCAUUAACAGGGUAUCAUGAUCAGUCCCACAAAUUACAAAAGAUUUUAGUAUAUUCCUGCAUAAUUUUGACAUAAUAAAUCACACAAGUGUUAUCUCUUAUCUAAUAAAAUCAUUGUACAAGCAUAA